GCAAGUCGAGGGGUAACAUUGGUGCUUGCACUUGAUGACGACCGGCGCACGGGUGCGUAACGUGUAUAGAACCUACCUUUAACUGGAGGAUAGACCAGAGAAAAUUGGAUUAAUACUUCAUAGUAUCAUUUAGUAGCAUUGCUUAAUGAUUAAAGAUUUAUCGGUUAGAGAUGGCUAUGCGUUCUAUUAGUUAGUUGGUAAGGUAACGGCUUACCAAGACAUCGAUAGAUAGGGGUCCUGAGAGGGAGAUC
rnacentral:rRNA from 1 species